rnacentral:rRNA from 1 species
AUUGAACGCUGGCGGCAGGCUUAACACAUGCAAGUCGAGCGGAGAUGAGGUGCUUGCACCUUAUCUUAGCGGCGGACGGGUGAGUAAUGCUUAGGAAUCUGCCAUUUAGUGGGGGACAACAUUCCGAAAGGAAUGCUAAUACCGCAUACGUCCUACGGGGGAAAGCAGGGGAUCUUCGGACCUUGCGCUAAAUGAUGAGCCUAAGCCGGAUUAGCUAGUUGGUGGGAUAAAGGCCUACCAAGGCGACGAUCUGUAGCGGGUCUGAGAGGAUGAUCCGCCACACUGGGACUGAGACACGGCCCAGACUCCUACGGGAGGCAGCAGUGGGGAAUAUUGGACAAUGGGCGGAAGCCUGAUCCAGCCAUGCCGCGUGUGUGAAGAAGGCCUUUUGGUUGUAAAGCACUUUAAGCGAGGAGGAGGCUACCUGGAUUAAUACUCUAGGAUAGUGGACGUUACUCGCAGAAUAAGCACCGGCUAACUCUGUGCCAGCCGCCGCAGUAAUAC